UACGUAGGGAGCAAGCGUUGUCCGGAAUCAUUGGGCGUAAAGCGCGCGUAGGUGGCUUCGUAAGUCCGUUGUGAAAGUCGAAGGCUCAACCUUUGAAAGCCGAUGGAUACUGUGAAGCUAGAGUCCGGAAGAGGCGAGUGGAAUUCCUGGUGUAGCGGUGGAAUGCGCAGAUAUCAGGAGGAACACCAAUAGCGAAGGCAGCUCGCUGGGACGUUACUGACACUGAGGCGCGAAAGCGUGGGGAGCGAACAGG
rnacentral:rRNA from 1 species